UGGCAAACGGGUGCGUAACGCGUAAGCAACCUGCCCCAAACCGGGGGAUAGCCCGGCGAAAGCGGGGGUAACCCCCCAUAGUUCUGUUGGUUCACCUGGACUGACAGAUAAACAUUUAUGGGUUUGGGAGGGGCUUGCGUCUGAUUAGCUUGUUGGCGGGGUAGUGGCCCACCAAGGCUUUGAUCAGUAGGGGUUCUGAGAGGAUUGGCCCCCACAUGGGUACUGAGAUACGGACCCAACUCCUACGGGAGGCAGCAGUAGGGAAUAUUGGGCAAUGGAGGCAACUCUGACCCAGCCAUGCCGCGUGGAGGAUGAAGGCGCUCAGCGUCGUAAACUUCUUUUAUCGGUGAAGAACUCUGGUCCUGCGGGAUCAGUUGACGGUAGCCGAGGAAUAAGCACCGGCUAACUCCGUGCCAGCAGCCGCGGUAAUACGGAGGGUGCAAGCGUUGUCCGGAUUUAUUGGGUUUAAAGGGUGCGUAGGUGGGUGCUUAAGUCUGGUUUGAAAGCAGGUGGCUCAACCAUCUGAUGUGGCUGGAAAC
rnacentral:rRNA from 1 species